AGUGAACGCUGGCGGCGUGCUUAACACAUGCAAGUCGAACGAGAACGGAUUAUAGCUUGCUAUAAUUGUCAGCUAAGUGGCGCACGGGUGAGUAAUGUAUAGGUAAUAUGCCUCUUACUAAGGGAUAACAAAUGGAAACGAUUGCUAAUACCUUAUACUCCUUGUUAACAGAAGUUAAUAAGGGAAAGAUUUAUUGGUAAGAGAUUAGCCUGUAUUGUAUCAGUUAGUUGGUGGGGUAAUGGCUUACCAAGACUAUGACACAUAACUGGUUUGAGAGGAUGAUCAGUCACACUGGAACUGAGACACUGUCCAGACUCCUACGGGAGGCAGCAGUGGGGAAUAUUGCACAAUGGACGGAAGUCUGAUGCAGCAACGCCGCGUGGAGGAUGACACAUUUCGGUGCGUAAACUCCUUUUAUAUGAGAAGAUAAUGACGGUAUUAUAUGAAUAAGCACCGGCUAACUCCGUGCCAGCCGCCGCCGUAA
rnacentral:rRNA from 1 species